rnacentral:lncRNA from 1 species
GGAAGCCAGGUGGCUUCUAUUGUUAUAAUUGUUAUUGGUUUUGAUGCAGGGUAGAUUCAAUGUUUUAUACUUAGAAUGUCUCAUUUUCCCCUUCAGUCUUCUCUGUUUUACUCAAUAGGUAAUUUGCACCCAUUUUAUCUCUCAUUCUUUCACUGGAAAUUUUCCAUUCCUAUCUCUUCUCUAAUUUUAAAUGUAAAAUUUAGUUUAUAGCACAUGAAAAUGUAUAUUCAGACCUUCGCUUGGAUAAUUGGAGGCGUUGGCAGUUCUGGCUGAGAUUCUUUUUUUUUUUUUUUGCUACUUUUUUAUUAAAAUAAUUGAUUUACAGUGAAUAUAUACAUAUAUAUGUAUACAUAUACACACACACACCUUUUUUCAGUCCAUCUUCUAUCAUGAUCUAUCCCAGGAGACUGGACAUAGUUUGCUGUGCUAUAUAGCAGGACUUCAUUGCUUAUCCAUUCUAAGUGUAAUUGUUUGCAUCUACUAACCCCAAACUCCCCAUCCAUCCUUCCUCCCCCUUCCUCUUGGCAACCACAACUCUGUUCUCUGUCUGUGAGUCUGUUUCUGUUUUGUAAGUAGGUUCAUUUGUGCCAUAUUUUGGAUUCCACAUAUGAGUGAUAUCAUAUGGUAUUUGUCUUUCUCUGACUUACUUCACUCAAUAUGAGAAUCUCUAGUUGUAUCCAUGUUGCUGCAAAUGGCAUUAUUUUGUCCUUUUUAUGGCUGAGUAGUAUUCCAUUUAUAUAUGUACCACAUCUUCUUCAUCCCUUCAUCUAUCAAUGGACUUGGUAGGCUAGGACUGAGAAGCUCCUGCCUACUUUAAGAAGGUGAUGUGUUCUUAGUCUACACCUGGCACAGACCCCAUAAGCCUCAGUGGGCCUGAUUCCCAGUGUUACCUUGUGCCCACAGUCCAUGUAGGAUUUUGAGCAUUUUUCUGUUUAUCUUCAAGCACCCUGCUCACAUCUGGCUUCUCACAUCUCCCAGGCCCUACACAGGUCAUUGCAUUUCAGGCACAAUGCCUGUCAGUAUUGUCUUGUUUAAAUGCUCAACAUCAAUGGUAUACCCGGAAUGUAGAAUCCAUACACAUUCAGGAUUUUGACACGCAUCUACAGAGGUAUGCAUAGCCAAUAUGGAAAGUGUCCUCUUUAUGUAUAUAUGUCUAAAAUACAUGAGGAUACUGAGGCCCAUGCCAGAGCUAGUAAGAACUAAAAUUCAGCUAAAACAACUCACAUCUUUUGUCACUUACAUUCAGGCUUUUUCUCUAAGACACCAGGUUUCACAUUUCCAUCCAUUCCUUGUAGAAUUCCAGCCAUCGCUAAGCAGCCGGUUCUUUUCAAUAGUCUCUAACCUCAAUGCCUUUCUCCAGGUUCCCACAUGUUUCUGGUUCCCUUAUUAUGUCUUGUUCACUCGCUUGAGGUAGUCUGGAAUGAAGUAAAUGCAAAUUGUUUUAGUGGUUGAAACAUUUGCGCUCCCCUCCCCCUCCAGAAUCAACAAAAGCUGCUGAGUCUAUGAAUUUAGAAGUAGAAUUUAGACCAGUAAUUAUAGUUAUGGAGUUAAAGAAUUUUCAAUGUUUUUUUAUUUUUUUCUUUUCUUGGACUUAUCAUCUCAGAUUUGCAAUCUGAAUUCUUGGUGCUCCUUUUCCAGUAAUUUCAAGUGAGAAGUUCAAAUCUGUUUACCCAGCAUGCCUAAUGACCAUUAGUAGGGUAAAUAAGGGGAAUCAAUAGACAUAUUAUUGGAGACUGUCUUUUGAAACAUGGUAACAUCACAUGACACGUAUUCCCAGAGGAAUCAAUUGAUUUUUUUUUUUUAAGCACAAGAAAUGUUUUUUUAUCCCCUCCUACCCAGAGAAAAACAUAAGAAUUCAGACAAGAUCAAGUCCAAAAUGAAUAAUGUAGGGAUUUGCCAUUUGUGUGGAAUAGAAACUACUCACCUUUUAAAACAUUAUUUAUGAAUUUGACUUGAGAUGCUCCGCAUAAAUCUUUUUUUCUUUUCUGGUCAAGUGUUUGUGACAUAAAAAAUGAAAUGGCAUUUAUCACCAGUUUGAUACUUCCAGAAGUAUAUUAAGUAGAAAGAACUUGACCUCAUUAAGUAAAAGGACACACCUAAGAAUUCAUGAAGCAGUUCACAGCUCCUCUCUUUGUUUUACCUGCUCUUCUGCUCCACUCUGAGGUUACUCUGUUGGAGGAGAUGACGAAAUUGCCAUUGAACCUCCUCUUCAUCAUUAAGAAGAAUGAGCAAGUGUGCCUGGAGACCCAGGAAGGCCCUUUGUUUAGUUACAGUCUGAGUUCAAAGGUCAGAGACCCAGGAGAGCUGAUGGUCUCCACCCAAAGACUGCCAGGUUCAAGAGGUAGGAAGUGCCACCAUGUCAGUUCAAGCCUGAAGGCAGGAAAAAAAAAAAUCAUAUGUGUCCAUCUGAAGGCCAUCAACAAGGAAGGAAUUCUUUCUCACUGUGGGGAGGGUCAGUGUUUUUGUUCUAGAAAGACCUUCAACUGAUUGGAUGAGGCUCACGCCCAUUAGGGAGGGCAAUCUGCUUUAGUCCAGGUACUGAUUUCAGUGUUCUUCUCAACCAAAACACCCUCCCAGGAACACCUGGAAUAAUAUUUGACUAAAUGUCAGGCCACCCCAUGGUCCAGUCAAGUUGACACAGAAAAUUAACCUUCACACGGGGGAAUCCAUUAAAGAAGGAUAUAUUCCUCAGUUCCAGCAGCUGUUAGAUGAUUUUUUUUUUUACUAGGUGUUAGCUCGUGGUUGUCCUCAGUUCCUGCCACAUGGGCCUCUCCAACAUAACAGCUGGUUUCAGCAAAGGCAGCAAGAGAAAGAUAACCUGCUAGCAAAAUGGAAUUAGCAAUCUUUUGUAGUCAAGUCACAUAAUUAAUAGCCUAGUACCUUUGCCAUAUUCUCUUGGUUGGAAGCAUGUCACUGGGUUCAACCCAUACUGCAAUUGAGGAAAUUACAUAUAUGCAUGAACACCCCGGGGUGGGCACCUUUGGGGGCCAUAGUAGAAGGCUGCCUUUCACACAGUUGAAAGGCACGUUGAAGGUUUGAGCAAGGAAUACAAACAUUAGAACCAUAAAAGGGGACUUGCCUCAAACUUACAAGUCUGGAUUUGAGGGUCCUUUAAAAUAAAUCUUCCUAGUUCUAUGAAUUUGUGCAAAUUAAUUACUAUCAUUUUGCUUAUUUCUUCACUUAUUAAAAUGGAUAUAUGUUAUGUUGUUUCUUGCCUAGUAGUAUUCCCAGCAGUAGAACUUGGUCUUCUUGCCCCCUCCCGAUUCAGGUCAAGUUAUUAAGGUAAAGCUUAUCAAAUCUCCCCUCUCCUAUAGGGCUGGACAUAGGAAUCAGAUUUGGCCAUGCAAAGCCAUGGCGACUAGUUCAGGAUGGAACCCAAGAGCCAUUCUGUGUUCAUGAGAAGCAGGCAUAGGACUUUUUCUGGAAGGACUGGACAAGAGAAAGAGCUUUCUCAGUGAGGUUGAAAGUGAGAGAAUGGGCCAUUCCCCUCGUGGCUCAGUGGAAAUGAAUCUGCCUAGCAUCCAUGAGGAUGCAGGUUCGAUCCCUGGCCUCACUCAGUGGGUUAAGAAUCUGGUGUUGCCAUGAGCUGUGGUGUAGGUCGCAGACAUGGCUUGGAUCUGGCGGUGCUGGGGCUGCGAUGUAUGCCAGUGGCUACAGCUCCAAUUCGACCCCUAGCCUGGGAUCCUCCAUAUGCCAGAGGUGCUGCCCUAAAGAGGCAAAAAAAAAAAAAAGGGGGGGGGGGGAGAAUGUAAGCCUAAGUUUUCCAGCAGCCAUGUAGUUACCUAGUAGGAAAAGUCUGAAUAAGAAUAAAGGCUAAUUCUCAUUUCAGUUGUGAGACAGAAAGAGGUAGAUUCCUAAAGAUACCGAACUGCUGGAUCCAUCCUGGCCUGCAGUUCAACAACCCUAACUCUUAUGUGGACCAAUACAUUUCUACUUAAGUCUGUUUGAGUUGUAUUUCUGGCCAUUGCCUGAUCCAUCCCACACCUAGAGCUGUGUGCUGUUUACAGCUAUCUCUCAACAAAUGUACACUGACUAAUGUAUAAAAGCAAUUUUUGGAAGAUUAGCCUUGACAUCCAAGGGCAGGAAGUUGGAACGUAUUCCCCUCCCCGAGUCUUCCUGAACCCUAAAAUUCUAAGAUUGGCUGCUUCCCAGAACACUUCUUGGAGGCCUCUCUUUGGAAUUUGUGUCUAGAAUAUUUGGAAUGGCUUAGGCGGCUCUCUUAGGUUUGUCCAUCUCUAUCCCCAGGCUCACGGCGGUGUAGGUGGGCCAGUCUUGCAAAACUCCAUCUCUGAGCAGCCUCAGGCACAGGAAGCUGGCCCAUACAAGUUCC